UACGGAGGGUGCAAGCGUUAUCCGGAUUCACUGGGUUUAAAGGGUGCGUAGGCGGACACUUAAGUCCGUGGUGAAAUCUCUGGGCUUAACCCAGAAACUGCCAUGGAUACUAUUUGUCUUGAAUGUUGUGGAGGUUAGCGGAAUAUGUCAUGUAGCGGUGAAAUGCAUAGAUAUGACAUAGAACACCAAUUGCGAAGGCAGCUGGCUACACAAUGAUUGACGCUGAGGCACGAGAGCGUGGGGAUCAAACAGG
rnacentral:rRNA from 1 species